ACGUGACCUCCAGUGAGACGCAGAGGGCGGGACUGACCCCGGGCGCGGGGUGGAGCCUGCUGUCUGUGCCUGGGCUGGGCGGGGGGUGCGGCUGGCUGGGAAGCACCUGUCCCCUUACCUUCGAAUCCUCUGCAUCCUGGUUGGCCCCCAGUAAAUGUUUCUCUGACCAGACUCUGAGCCUCAUCCCCAGGCACCGGGGCGUCUCAGCUCACAAUGAAGGGAGCAAAGUGUCGCCUUGGAAUCCUACAGAGCCUUUUCCAGGAGGCUGAAAACAAACUGCUGGAGAGUUGCUGCUAGUGGCUCACAGCUGCCCCUUCACCGGAGGGAGGAGAGCUGCCCCACCCCGAAGGCCGCACCAGCUGGGCGGGCUGCGGCCAGUGGCUGGCGGAUGUGGUGGUACAACAGGCGCCCCCAGACCUCAAGACUUGAAAGGCUGGAACCACAGCAGCCAUCAGCCUCCACAAGGGAAAGACCAAGAGAACUGUAAUAAUAUCAGCUAUGAGCUGGCAAACCAAGGCCAGUAACCAUCCAACGUCUGGAGUCCUGUCAGAUUUACAUCUCCAGCCCUGAUCUGCUGCAAGCAUCGGAAACUCAACCUGUACAAAAUCCACACUGUGUAUUUCUCUGCAAAAGCCUGCUGUCCCUCAGAAUUCCUCCCAGGUGCCCAGAUGUGGCAGACUCUUGGUUAUCCUUCUGUGGCCACUGGAGCAGAAACUACAUGUUACAGCCUCCCUUGCAGCUGCAUGUGGCCAGGUCACUAUGAGUGACUUCUUCCUUACUUAUUCAGAAGGACAUCACUUGCCCUGGACUUCGUCCCUUUCCCCUUUUCCAUGGAUGGGAGUAGUGCCCAUAUUUGAUCACCCUGAUGAGCACAAUACCCUAGGGGAUGAAGGAGCACCAAGAUGGAAGGAACUCGGGUCCCUAAAUGACAUCACACAGCAGAGCAGUCUCAGCAGCAUAGACAACAGAGACCUGAGAGAAUCUUCUGUCGGAUUGAAGUCACUGUAUUUGGGGGUUUCUUGGCUCCAGCAGUGUAGCUAAGAACCAUAGGCUGAGGACCUCAGGGGUAUAUCUGCCUUCCCUCUCUCCUCCCUAGUCCCUGCCCAUCACUGAGUCCAGUCCAUUCUACUUCCUCACUAUCCCCUGAAACUGCUCUUGCUUUGCCUGUCUUGUAGCCUCUCCUCUGCUUCUAGCUCUCACCUUCUCCUGUCUCAACCAUCUGACCUCUGAAUGGUCCCUUCAUCUCCAGUCACUCACUGUUCCAUGCCACAAGGUAUACCUCUGCUCUAAGACCUUUGAUGGCUCCCCACUGCUUAUCAAAGAGCAAGAUACCAUCUAUUCCUACCAUAUUCUCACCCACACUCAUGGGCUGUCCCCCCCCCCGUGCCUUUGAUCCUGCUGGUCCCUCCUCAUUAUUCCCAAAUUCCUCAUUUUUUUCACCUACCGAAUGCCUAUGUAUUACCCAUGUCCAGAUGAAGUGUUCCCUCCUCCCAGUGAUUUCCACAUCCUCUUAUGGGAAUUAAACCAGUGCCUCCACUAUGAUAGGCAUUCUCAGAGCCCACCUUAAUGCAACAGUUGUUUCCAUGACCUGCUAGACUAGAUAGUAUGUGGUUUAAAGGCAGACACCAUUUCCUGGUCAUCUUUCCACUGCCUUCAUGCCAAAGAGAAUGCCCUGUAUACAGCAAGAGCUCAUUAUAUGCUUGCCAGUGAAAACACUCGCUUUCCCUGUCUGGAGCAUCACAAUUCUGACUGGGCAGUGGUCUUGCCAUAAGUGAGCAAGGUUGUCUUCCCUCUUGCCUGGGGGACCUCUCCAGGGAACACUAAGGAGCGGGGCAUGAGGGGCUGCCCUUCUCACAUUUCCCUGGGAACUGAAGUACAUAGGUUUUAUAGGCAUGGGCUCUGGAGUGAAACAGCUUUGGCCUUGAAUUUCAGCCCACCACUUAUUAGCUGUGUGACUUCAGGCAUGAUACCAACUUCUCUGAAUCUCAGUUUUUGUUUUAUAACUUAAGAUUAAUAUAGUACUUAUCUCCUAGAGAUCUUGUGGGGAUUAAGAAAGAUUUAUAUAAAGAUAUAUAAAGCUCUUGGCAUAAGGAAAGUGCUUACUAAAGGAUAAUCAUCAUCAUCAUCGCCAUCAUCAUCAUCAUCAUUCAAUAUCUUUCCUAUGGCCUGAGACUCUGCCUGGUGAGAGAGCACCAAGGCACCUGCUGCUCUAGGCCUGGCCCACUGGAAUCCUUGCUGUCAGACUGGGUUUCCCUAUGGACAAAAGUUAGAGAAUAUGCACUGUCAGGACUAGCUGGGCCCCAGCUGGGCAGUUUGCUGGGUGCUCCAAGAAGGUGGAGGAGAGGGAGCAGUGCAGAAGUCUGGUGGGGCUGGAGGGAGGGCCCAGCUCCCUGGUGGCUCACCCCUAAGAGACAGGGUCAAACGAGAUUUGGCUGGCUGGCAUCAAUAGCCAGGGAUGCAAAGUUGGGAGUUUAGAACUGAGCAGGCUGUAGAGGCUGCUAGGGAACUCAAGGCUCCCCAUAUCAGGUGGGCUGGCAGCAUCGUCCCACAGUGGUCAUUCUACUUUGGUGUAGAAAGGGACCCACGCUCCCAGAUAACCAGGCUUUGGUGCUAGCAGAUAGAAGGUACCAAGGGCCAUUGAAAGAUGGCCUGCAUACAGUGGGGUCAGAGAGGGAGGCUAUCCUCUCCCUACAUACCACACACACUAUCACAUCCUCCUCACUGGCAGGGAGGAAGCUCCCUGCUUCCCGCUGAUUCAGGGCCUGAGCGGCUGGAUCUAUCAGUUGCAGCCAUCUAAGUGAGACGGGCAUAGGUGGAUCCAGUGGUGUGCUGGUGAAUGUUUGACAAACAGCUCUCUGGGAGAAGAAGUCUUCAUUUGUAGUGUUUGCCAGUUACUUUUGUGUAAAUAUUCCCACCAUGGCUGAUUUCAAGCAAUCAACACAACGCCCCAGAAUGAGGAGCUGGGAAGAGAUGUGCACAAUUGGUUCUUGUGAGCCAGUAUGAACUGACUCCAGCACACCACUCGGUGGGGCCGGACACCUGUAUUGGGGGAGAAAGCAGAUGUGCAUGGCUUCGGUGUACAGAGAGGUAAAGGUCACCAUGCAGUGGUAAAAAGCACAAAAAUAACAGCUCUGGAGUCUAACAGCCUAUAACAGAAUCCCAGUUCUGCCACUUGCUGGCUGUGUGAUCUUGGUCAAGUCACUUUACCACUCUGUGCCUCAGUUUCCUCAUCUAUAAGGUGGGGGCUAAUUAUAAUGCCAACUUCAUAGAAUUCUUCUGAAGGUUGCACACUGGCCUGUGGUAGAUUGAUAUAAAUGUUAUUUAUUACAGUUAAUCACGCAGGGUAGUUGGAAUGUUGCCUCGGUCAGAAUAGUUUAGAACAGAAAACCCAGAAUUCCUCAGGGCAUUUCCCAAAGGCAUGGUCUUUUUAUAUUUAAUCUUGAAUUUCCUUCAAGACUGAAGAUUUUAAAUCCACAGGUCCACGAACAACCUGAAAUUAUUUUUUCCAAUGUUGAGUAUGUGUACUUAUUUCUAUAAAGAGGGGCUGUAGCUUUUAUCGGAUUCUCAAAAAAAGGCUGUGGUUUCUGCAUCCUUCCCUCAACCCACAAAAGGCUUAAGAAGUAGUAAUGUGGAGGGUGAAUUCCCACACCACAGGAACUGCCUCUGGAGGAUGUUGGGGAGAGGGGAUGUUUGCAGAGUGUGUGGAAGAAAAAUGGCAGAGUCACAGAAAGACCCGUAAAGACGUUAGCAAGGACUCUGAAGUAUGUUUCCUUUAUUGAGACCUAGGGCUGAGGAAGCUUCCAGAAACAGGACAAUGGAAAAGCUCACACUUACGCAUCCCGUUCCUGAUUUCUCCUUACCCCUGCAGUUCCAAGAGUGUCCUCUUCCCUUCUCCAGUCUACCCUCCCUGCCCAUGCCCUGCUGGACCCAACAUAGCUUCUUGCCCUGAGAGUCACCGCUUUGCAGGAGGUAUGAUUCAAACUCCCUUGAGUGUUGCUAUGAUUCCUUGAUACCAUUUGUGUUCCUCUUGGUUGUGUUUUGUUUCUUUUAGGUUUCUGGAGUUACACUAUAAUUAUUUAAGGUAAGGCUAGCUAGCGCAAAGUUGAUUUAGCAUUGGUCUGCUUCUGUUUUGAGUUGGAGGCUGUAUUCAGUUUUUUAUUAACAACAUGGAAGGGAGUGGCGGGUAAGUUUACAAUGCUUCUCACUUUCCAGCCACUUGUUUUUUGUUUUAGUUCAUUUUUUAAAAAAU